rnacentral:rRNA from 1 species
GUGGGGAAUAUUGGACAAUGGGGGGAACCCUGAUCCAGCCAUGCCGCGUGUGUGAAGAAGGCCUUUUGGUUGUAAAGCACUUUAAGCGAGGAGGAGGCUACCGAGAUUAAUACUCUUGGAUAGUGGACGUUACUCGCAGAAUAAGCACCGGCUAACUCUGUGCCAGCAGCCGCGGUAAUACAGAGGGUGCAAGCGUUAAUCGGAUUUACUGGGCGUAAAGCGCGCGUAGGUGGCCAAUUAAGUCUAAUGUGAAAUCCCCGAGCUUAACUUGGGAAGUGCAUUCGAUACUGGUUGGCUAGAGUAUGGGAGAGGAUGGUAGAAUUCCAGGUGUAGCGGUGAAAUGCGUAGAGAUCUGGAGGAAUACCGAUGGCGAAGGCAGCCAUCUGGCCUAAUACUGACACUGAGGUGCGAAAGCAUGGGGAGCAAACAGGAUUAGAAACCCGGGUAGUCC